rnacentral:tRNA from 1 species
AAAUUACCUACAGAGUACAAUCGCUUUUACUUCAAUGACUGCUCCUAAGUUUUAUCUUGUUGCUGGUGACACU